UAUGAAGAACUCCGAAACAGAAACAGAGAAGGACAAGACGCUGGAAUGGUGCAGAAACCUGAAAUUCGAACGAGCUCGUUACCAAUAAAGGAGAGAGCUAAGAUUAAUAAGUAUGGAGAUGUUUGGGAAGAGUGAAAAUGCUGAAGUUCCUCAAGACCUGUCUUUGUUCCACUGUUUCAGCUUAAUCAUUGUUGGUCAAGUAGCUGAGUAUUCUACUGUGAAAUGGACACGUAAUACAUCUACAAUAAAGAUAUAUUUGUUUUCCA